ACACCCGUUCCCAUGCCGAACACGGAAGUUAAGCCCUCCAGCGCCGAUGGUACUUGGGGCGAGAGCCCCCGGGAGAGUAGGACGUUGCCAGGC
rnacentral:rRNA from 1 species